GCAGCACCUCCUCGCCAGCAGCCGUCCGGAGCCAGCCAACGAGCCCUCCAUGAUGCGUUAUCUGGGUCUGGAAACCCAAACCCUCAAGGAUGGCCUGGUGCAUGGGGGAACCAGCCUGCUGGGGCAGGGGGCUACCCAGGGGCUUCCUAUCCUGGGGCCUACCCCGGGCAGGCACCCCCAGGGGCUUAUCCUCGACAGGCACCUCCAGGCGCCUACCCUGGAGCACCUGGAGCUUAUCCCGGAGCACCUGCAUCUGGAGUCUACCCAGGGCCACCCAGCGGCCCUGGGGCCUACCCAUCUUCUGGACAGCCAAGUGCUCCCGGAGCCUACCCUGCCACUGGCCCCUAUGGCGCCCCUGCUGGGCCACUGAUUGUGCCUUAUAACCUGCCUUUGCCUGGGGGAGUGGUGCCUCGCAUGCUGAUAACAAUUCUGGGCUCGGUGAAGCCCAAUGCAAACAGAAUUGCUUUAGAUUUCCAAAGAGGGAAUGAUGUUGCCUUCCACUUUAACCCACGCUUCAAUGAGAACAACAGGAGAGUCAUUGUUUGCAAUACAAAGCUGGAUAAUAACUGGGGAAGGGAAGAAAGACAGUCGGUUUUCCCAUUUGAAAGUGGGAAACCAUUCAAAGUAAGU
rnacentral:sRNA from 1 species